AGGACGAACGCUGGCGGCGUGCUUAACACAUGCAAGUCGAGCGACGCACCACUUCGGUGGUGACGGAGCGGCGAACGGGUGAGUAACACGUGGGCAACCUGCCCCUAGCUCUGGGACAACACCGGGAAACCGGUGCUAAUACCGGAUACGACACCGAGCGGCAUCGCUUCGGUGUGGAAAGUUUUUUCGGCUAGGGAUGGGCCCGCGGCCUAUCAGCUUGUUGGUGGGGUAAUGGCCCACCAAGGCGACGACGGGUA
rnacentral:rRNA from 1 species